rnacentral:rRNA from 1 species
AUUGAACGCUGGCGGCAGGCUUAACACAUGCAAGUCGAGCGAGCGGCGGACGGGUGAGUAAUGUAUGGGGAACUGCCCGAUGGAGGGGGAUAACUACUGGAAACGGUAGCUAAUACCGCCUACCAUCCGAUGCGCCCAGAUGGGAUUAGCUAGUAGGUGGGGUAAUGGCUCACCUAGGCGACGAUCCCUAGCUGGUCUGAGAGGAUGACCAGCCACACUGGAACUGAGACACGGUCCAGACUCCUAGGGGAGGCAGCAGUGGGGAAUAUUGCACAAUGGGCGCAAGCCUGAUGCAGCCAUGCCGCGUGUGUGAGGAAGGCCUUAGGGUUGUAAAGCACUUUCAGCGGGGAGGCGUUACUCGCAGAAGAAGCACCGGCUAACUCCGUGCCAGCAGCCGCGGUAAUAC